rnacentral:rRNA from 1 species
AACGAACGCUGGCGGCAUGCCUAACACAUGCAAGUCGAACGAGACCUUCGGGUCUAGUGGCGCACGGGUGCGUAACGCGUGGGAACCUGCCUUUAGGUUCGGAAUAACUCAGAGAAAUUUGAGCUAAUACCGGAUGAUGUCUUCGGACCAAAGAUUUAUCGCCUUAGAUUGGCCCGCGUUGGAUUAGCUAGUUGGUGGGGUAAAGGCCUACCAAGGCGACGAUCCAUAGCUGGUCUGAGAGGAUGAUCAGCCACACUGGGACUGAGACACGGCCCAGACUCCUACGGGAGGCAGCAGUGGGGAAUAUUGGACAAUGGGCGAAAGCCUGAUCCAGCAAUGCCGCGUGAGUGAUGAAGGCCUUAGGGUUGUAAAGCUCUUUUACCCGAGAUGAUAAUGACAGUAUCGGGAGAAUAAGCUCCGGCUAACUCCGUG